CUACGGGACGCAGCAGUGAGGAAUAUUGCACAAUGGGGGAAACCCUGAUGCAGCAACGCCGCGUGGAGGAUGACGCAUUUCGGUGUGUAAACUCCUUUUAUCAGAGAAGAAAAUGACGGUAUCUGAUGAAUAAGCUCCGGCUAACUCCGUGCCAGCAGCCGCGGUAAUACGGAGGGAGCAAGCGUUAUUCGGAAUCACUGGGCGUAAAGGACGAGUAGGCGGGUUUUUAAGUAAGGUGUGAAAUCCUAAAGCUCAACUGUAGAACUGCACUUGAAACUGGGAACCUAGAGUAUGGAAGGGGCAGGUGGAAUUAGUGGUGUAGGGGUAAAAUCCGUAGAUAUCACUAGGAAUACCGAAAGCGAAGGCGACCUGCUGGGACAUAACUGACGCUGAGGCGUGAAAGCGUGGGGAGCAAACAGGAUUAGAUACCCGGGUAGUC
rnacentral:rRNA from 1 species